AUCACUUCUCAACCAUUUGGCUAAGAUCAAGUAUAAUAUCUAUCUUUAUCAGUUUAGUAUCUGAUAUCUGCUCUACCUGAGGACAGUAUAUUUAAUGUAUUUUCGGAACAGGGAGAAGAAAUAGGAGCUUGCUCUGUCCACUUCAUGCCUAGACCUGGUAUUGCAGGACCUCUAGAAACAAUGCCUCCACA
ensembl:snRNA U2 U2 spliceosomal RNA